rnacentral:rRNA from 1 species
AGCUUGCUCCCGGAUGUUAGCGGCGGACGGGUGAGUAACACGUGGGUAACCUGCCUGUAAGACUGGGAUAACUCCGGGAAACCGGAGCUAAUACCGGAUAGUUCCUUGAACCGCAUGGUUCAAGGAUGAAAGACGGUUUCGGCUGUCACUUACAGAUGGACCCGCGGCGCAUUAGCUAGUUGGUGAGGUAACGGCUCACCAAGGCGACGAUGCGUAGCCGACCUGAGAGGGUGAUCGGCCACACUGGGACUGAGACACGGCCCAGACUCCUACGGGAGGCAGCAGUAGGGAAUCUUCCGCAAUGGACGAAAGUCUGACGGAGCAACGCCGCGUGAGUGAUGAAGGUUUUCGGAUCGUAAAGCUCUGUUGUUAGGGAAGAACAAGUGCAAGAGUAACUGCUUGCACCUUGACGGUACCUAACCAGAAAGCCACGGCUAACUACGUGCCAGCAGCCGCGGUAAUACGUAGGUGGCAAGCGUUGUCCGGAAUUAUUGGGCGUAAAGGGCUCGCAGGCGGUUUCUUAAGUCUGAUGUGAAAGCCCCCGGCUCAACCGGGGAGGGUCAUUGGAAACUGGGAAACUUGAGUGCAGAAGAGGAGAGUGGAAUUCCACGUGUAGCGGUGAAAUGCGUAGAGAUGUGGAGGAACACCAGUGGCGAAGGCGACUCUCUGGUCUGUAACUGACGCUGARGARCGAAAGCGUGGGGAGCGAACAGGAUUAGAUACCCUGGUAGUCCACGCCGUAAACGAUGAGUGCUAAGUGUUAGGGGGUUUCCGCCCCUUAGUGCUGCAGCUAACGCAUUAAGC